ensembl:lncRNA
AGGACCGGUUGGACUCCAUCGCGGUGGCGGGGGCCGUGAUGGGCGCUGUGCUCGCCCUCUUCCUCAUCACCGUCUUCACCAUCGUCAUCGUCGCCUCCCGCAAGACUCCGCCGCCCAGCUUCGCCGACAAAGUGCUCGCCGGGCUGGCCUCGCCUUCCCCGCUGCAGGCUCCGCCCCCCAGCUGUCGGAGCAGCAGUGGGUGUGUCAUCAGAGUGGGACGGACCGCGUCUACAUCAACCACAGAGAGCACUACGUCUGAGGCGCACGCAGUUGACCAAUAGCAGAGGAGCAUCAAGUGUGAGACACGCCCCUAACACCCAGUCGACCAAUCACAGUUGAGCGCUACGUCUGUAUUGUAGUAUGUCAAUAACACGUCAAUAACAAGGCUGUCUUCAGAGGUCAAACUGGGAUUGGGGCGGUGAAUGUUGAGAACGUUGUAGGAGGAGCUUGGUCAGAUGUUGUUUAGCAGCUCCAGUGAAGAUAUAAAGAUAUAAAGAUAUAAAGUCUAAGGUCCAGGUCAGAGGCUUGUUCUCAGCAUUCAUCAAUGCAUUAAAUAAAACACAAGGGUCACCAGGAGUAGAUAUUAAUAUUCAUAUGAAUAUGAUUAUGAGCCAGAUGAGACCGGACAGCAAAAGGGGUUAGCUUAGUUAGCUCUAGUUCAGGUGUGUAGCGGUAGAGUUAUUUAUUAACACAAAUAGACAUGAUGUCUAACCACUGUAGGAAUGUUCCUAAAGCGUAGAUUUUAAAUGAUGCAAUUGUUUGCUUACGUACGUUUGUAUAACAUCUUAAUGUAAGUUUAAAAGUUUACAUUUUAAUAACUAGGUUUUAUAAUGCGUUUUUUAUACUUUUUUUAUUGUAAAUAACUUGGUUCUGCCUUAAAGACAUCUUUGACCGUUCUGUGACCUGAU